CAACAAUUGUCAGACUGCCAGGGCAGAGAGAGCCAGGAAAGGAAGAAGGGGAGGGUGAAGGAGCAAGCUAUGAGUGGCACCACAGAGUGGGUACAAGGAGAAUUAGACAGGUGCCACGGGAAGAGGUUGGCAGAAUGAGGAAAAGGUAGAUAUUGGUAAAAAAAAAAGUGGUGGGACAGAUAACAGCAGAAUUGGUGGAAGAGGGAGAGAUGGAAAAGACUUCAAGAUUUCAGCGGAUGACAAGACCAACACAGAAGACUGGAGAGAGACAGGGAACUGGAAGGACAAAGGCAGACAAGGAAGGAGGGGGGGGCACAUAGCCAAAAAGAGGAUAUGGAAGAAAAAAAAAAGGGAUGAGGAAAAAAAUAGCGAAGUGUGAAAAGAGAACAAAACAAACCACAGAGGGUGAAUGGUAAUGUGUCGUGCAGGCACCCCCACCUCCACUGGAUGCAACACUCCCACUCCUUUCAUGGUCUGCAGUCUGUCAUCAACACCCGUCUCCAAGGACAGCACAGGCAAGGGCUCCAUCAGUGGCCGUGCAAUAGAAAUCACCCACGACAUAGGGUACGCAUCAAAGAUGGUCAGCCCCUUUGUGAUUUACUUUCUGUGGCAACAACAAAACAAGAGGGGAGCCAUCAGUCUGAUCAAUCUGAUGUAAGCCAACUGAACUAAAGAAGGCCGAAUGUUUCUCUGAAGAUUUUGAUUCCUGUCUGCCUGCCCGCUCGACUGCCAGCCUGCCUGUCUGCCAACAAUCUCUCCCCCGCUUCCUCGGCCGGCCGUGCUGCCCAACAGAUCUCCAUUCCACCACUUCCCUUUGCCGUCUCCAGUCAUCCUUGCUAUUCAACCCAUCUCUGUGUACAGUCACUACUGCAAUAAACCAAUCAGAGUUCCAGUGAAACAGAAGUUAGCGUACCUUUAGCUUCUGUACUGUGAUUUCAAACUAAACCAACAUGAUCACCUCGUUGUGCUACCAGGAGGUCCAAAAUAAUGAACAAAAUGUGGUCUGGCUGCUUGAGUCCAUCUGAGCUUUUUUGUGGAUUGGUCAUCUGGAAUCAUCUUUUUAAGCAAGAGAGAUGGCAACAAAAUUGGACCCCAUUUGUCAUCCAUUCACUGGAUGAGAUAAACCAGGUUUUCCACUGUUAAGAUGACGAUAACAGUGAUGAACUUCCAGUGCUGGAUGAGGGGAAGUGUCGGGGGUCUUCAACCUAUUGGCUUUGUGGACAAGUUAGGGUAGGGCUAGGGCAAGAGAAAACAUGUCUCACAGUUUGGGGGUGGAAUGGUUGGGUCAGCGAUUUGGGAAUACCACAAUUAACUCCAUGCCAACUACUAAUUUAAGUUAGGCCCAUAUUUUUAAACAACUUUCACAUUCAUUCUCAACCAAUAAGUCUGGAAAUUAUGGCAGAUUUAGUCCCUUGAAUGAUGCAUAGAAAAAACAUGGUUGAAUAUAAAACUUUGACAAUGCUGACUCAGAGAUAAAUAUAUCUGAAUUUAAGAUUUUCAAAGUCAUGAAGUAACAUUAAGUUCAACCAGUUGAUUCAAGUUCAAAUGUAUUGGCAGAGCAUGAAUUGAUUCAGCUGCAUUGCUCAACAUCUGUUAAGCAACAUCAAGUUCACCAGAUUCAUGGGUUCAGUUCGAGGAAGUUCAAUAUGAAGAUAAGUGCUUGCCAUCUGUGAGGCUGUAAAGGAACACAGUGUCCUCUAAAGUGUUUCAGGCUUCGGCUGUAAGACAAAGAGAGGGGGUAACAGGGUGAUGUCAGGGAGCAGAACCUUGGUGCCCUGCCCAACUGGCCAACACAGCUUGAGCGCUGGCUUACGGAGGCCACAGACCUUCUCCAUGUGACCUUUAACCAGGUCACCUCCACAAUACACACCAUUACCAUAACAUGACAUGUAGCAAAGCAAGAAAGAAAUUAUAUAGACAUUGGACAUACAGCGUGUGGGCUGCGGGCGAUAAUAACCCAUAAUACAAAAGGGUGACAAAAAAAAAAAUCACACAAUUUGCAUUUAAUAGAGAUGACCACUCUUCACAUACCAGAUUGUGUUUUUAAAUAAAAAACAUGAAGAGAAAGCACGGGGGUGCGGUGAUAUGAGGCUGCAUUAGCCACACCUUCUGGGAAUAGGGCCUGCAGAGAGGCUACUUGCUCAGUGAAGUGUAAUCUUCAGUGGCCUGGUCCCUGUGACAGGCGGCAUAGUGAGUGGUUUGGGUGGGGCAGGUGGGGCCUUACACAAAGCAACGAGUUUCACUAUGGCAGGUAGGGGAUACAAAUAACACACAUACAGCAUAAACACAGGGGGAGGGCAUCAGACCGUGUAGGAGCCCAGCAUGAAAGGUAGAUCAGCGGUGAUAGAGAGAGAAAACUAGAUGGUGGAAAGGGGGCUGCGGGGAAAUUGGCUGGAGGGCGUGAAGGGAUGAGAGAGAAGAUAGAAACUAGGCAGCGAUGGUAAAUAGAACAGAGCUGUAUAUGUGGAAAUGCAAUGGGACGAAGGGGGUGAAUGGAAUGAUAAAGAGGAUAACUAUUGUGUAAAGAGGGGGAGCUGAAAGGAUAAAACAAAAGAUACAAGGUCAAAGAGGGGUUGUAAAAGGAAUAGAUGCCAAUAGAGAGAUGCUGGAAAAUAAUUUCAUGCUAUCAAGGGGAAUGCAUAGAGUCACCGGGUAGAGAAGAACCAAAGAAAACACCACAGAUCUACGUGGUAGAAGCGUAAUCACAAGUGGUAUCUCCAGGUAUGCAAUCCAGGUAUAAUAAAAUCUUAACAGCAUGUUAUAACUAUUGUUCACACUGUGUCAAAUAUGUUUUGAUUCAGCCCAAUGAUACUUUUUGAAGCUGAUGUUUCUGGUAUUAUUGUCUCAGUUUACAUUUAUUUAAGUUGUUCAUCACAUUUAACCUUUACACCCAUGUAUAUGUGAGUAAAUUGGGCAAUAUGUUAAAAACACCUUCCAAUAAAAUGCAGUCUAACAUAUAAUAAUAGCAUAUAAUUGAGUCAGCACAAAAUAAUUGUGUUUACAAAUAUUGUUACAUAAGGUGGUAUUCACUGCAGGGCUCUUAUAUUGUUGUUUCUAUUCUCAUUGCUUCUUCUUCAGUGGCUUCAACGGGAAAAAAUCGUACCCAUUUGACAUGAGUGAGCACAUACACGCACAAACAUGCAAACCUGUGAGCACAAGUGGCCUCACUAUGCAGUCAAAUCAUAUCACACAUACGCCUGACAGCCAGGCAAACCAUGCAUCUAUGUUAGUUAAUGCUUGCUAUGGCUGAAUCCACUUGACCAUUGCAUCAUUUGUCCUUCAGGUUGUGGUUGGGCUGUUUACGAGUUGGAGCCACGACUUCAUCACCCCGUUCCACCUCCCUCCAUCUUUACGGCCCUGUAGGUACCUGACCUUUAAGAAAGUGUCUGGUGAAACGGAACAGGGGGAGGAAUAGAGGAAGGCUCAGGAGAUGUGUGUACCCCCUAGGGAGAUGGACAGACUCGUAUAGAUAUGGGAAGUAGUGGCACUUGAAAGCAAAUGGGAAUCAGGAUGGAAAUAGAGGCACAUCAGCAACUGUUGCCUGCAGGGUGGAGAGAAGUUGUUUGGCGUGCACCACUGAGGUGGAAAUGUGUGGAUGGCCUGGCAUGGUGGGUGGGCAAUAGCUUUUUUUAAAGGAAAAAAAUGAGAGGCAUUUUAUGGCUAUGAAGAUAUCCUGUAAUUCCUUGACACCACGCUAUUUCCUCCUUUUAUUAGAAGCUAUAGUGAUCAGGAAAUGAAAUAACAUGCAGCAAUUACCUUUAAAAAACAGGCAUGGGCUAUAUUUGAAGUGGGACUGGAUUGGCCCAACAUGCACUGUACGCUUAUCUGAAGUCAUGCUGUGGGAAGGAUCCUGUAAACAACACAACUUGUUUUCCUUGCUGGCCUUUUGAAUGUUUUCAAAUCUUUUGGUACUCUUGAGGAACUGGAUGUGCUAUCUGCCUGUUUUUAAAUGCAUUUAUUCAAUCUGGUCACUAUUGCCUGUGUCAUAUGUAUCUCGGUCAUCUAUGCUGCUGCUUAAUGUCCUCACAAAUCGAAAAAAUCAAAGCGAAAAAUAGCCAACCCGAUAUGUUUAAAAAUUGCUGGAAAAUUAGCCCAAAAGUCAUACACAUGGUAUUUUUGUCAAAACGCUGCAUCACAUUUUUCACUGACAUAUUUAAUAUCUAAAGUGUUUUCAUUCAAAUGUUUGGUAAUGUGGGCUCUCAAGCUUGUACAGCAGUUGUAUGCCUUAACUGGCAAAGACAUUUACCAUGCAGUGCUUAUAAACAUCUUAUUAACGAUAUUUGGACAAUUGGACCCCACACAAACACCAUUACAGACAUAUUUGCAGAGAAAUCACGUGGAUAAGAAAUAAUCCUUUACAGUGAAGGCUGAGCACAAACAACAGCCGCUGUACUCGACAAUAGAGUGUGGAAGUUAACAUUUGAAAAAGCACAAUAAAUACACACAUGACCAGAUAUCCAGCAGAGAGGUGUAUACAUCCACUGCAGACAAAGUACCAAACACAUUAAUACAAACAUACAUCCUCUGCUUUCACAUUGUUAUGUGUAUCACAGUGUACAUCUCUGUCGGUCACUCACAUAUACAUGUAUAUAAUGACAAAAGUGAUGACUGCGCAGUUUGAGUAAAGGGGAUCUUUUUCCUUGUUGAGGAAAUCCAAAGUUGUCAUGAUUAAAUUCUGAUUUCAGAGCCAUCUGUUUCCAUCAGCAACAGCACCCUUCAUCUCCAAAGGGGUUAUUGAUUUGGGUCUUAAUCUACAAAUAAAUAUAAAGACUGAGUUUUUUUUUUUGGUUGUUUUUUUUUGAUGCUGUCAGCAAUGUUAAAAGGACAGCUCAUCUGGCUGAUGGAUGGGAGCAAAUGUUGCCCAGGGCCUAAGGGUGGACUGGAAGAGAAAUGUACCUUAUAACAAACACACAAACACAGACACACAUAAACAUCCCCUCCAGAUGGGUCCCCCCCUUGUGAGCAGUGUGUAGGAUCCAAUUAUGUGUGUGUGUAGGUGUGUGCAUGUGUGUGUGAGUUGGGGUUAGAACUUUGUGAAGCUUAACAAUUGGGAGUAUUGCCUUUAACAGUUUUUUUGUUGUUGUUUUAUCGCUUUGGCCUAAUUUUCAGAGUCAAUUUAGAGAGCUAAUGCAAAAGUCAGCUGCAAAGUACCACCAACGGGUAAAAUGUAACUGUCUGUUUCAAAAUAAUCUUCAAAAGUGUGUUUAGUAGCAUCCCCAUCUUUCAGAAAUUGUUAAGAUAAAGCCAGAUUCAAAAAAUAAAAAUUACAUUUAUACCUAUAAUCUAUAAAAUGUUUCCCUUGAGAGAAUGCAGUCAUUUUCAUCAUUUGACCCUUUGCUAUACUCUGUUGCUACUCUGUGAAGCUGUCAGAGCUAGCACGGAGCCCACACUGUCGCUAACUGCACUCCUCGAAUAUAUAUUAUCUCAAUUUUGGGAAGAUAAAAAAGUGAUGUCAGAGAUAAACAGAGGGUCUACAAUAUGCGUUUGAAUGAUAUAUCCAUGAUGUCAAACUGAUUCAGCAGCGGGGUAGGUCUUAUGUGUUAUAAUCAUUAAAAAGCAAAGACAGCAUGAUUAGUCGUUCACCAUACGUGCUAACGCUAGUGUGCUAACAUACUCUGCUAAUGUUAGCUCCACAGGUUUUUACGUAAAAACUCAAUAUUUUAGAAAAGUAUAUCUCCUUGAAGCAGAGGCUGUUGGAACCUGGUAAGAGCUGGCCGACGUUAUAUGUCUAAAUCCGAGGUAAUUUUGCACCUGUAGAGAAACAUUCUGUGUUGCUACAUCAACGUCUUUUGUCUACUCUGCAUAAACAAGCUGCGUUCUACGUCACAGGCUAACCUCCACAAUGGACAAGAAAAAGAAAUCUAUGAAUCAGUAAAUCAGGCAGUAAAAUUGCUCAAUGCAUUGAGUGAUGAAGAGUUUAACGGUGAUGAGGUUGAAGGGUUGAGCGAUGUUACUAGCAUUGAGGGACUACAACUAUAUAUUGUAGUUAUACAACCCUGUGUUGUACAAUGAUAAAUAAAUGAACCAAGUAAAUUGUACCUAUUGGCACCUAAGGAAUCUACCUUCCAAAUGUUAAUACAUAUACAGAUCACAAAUCACUUGUCAAACAGCAUCACUUGGCUGUUUGCAGCCAAGGCGGGUUGUAGCGUGUUAGUGUUGGUCAAGGCUGUAGGUUAUUGUUACCAUAAAAUAACCUAAUGUACAGUACACUCGUAACAAACCAGAUUAUGGUCAUUUCAUGUUGUAAAUGUAUCUCGCAGUUUGAUGUUUGGGGUCCAUGGAUGUAAACGCAAGCUUUAUAGCGAGGUGGAUAAAGAAGAGAGAAUGAGAUGUUUGGUGCAAUAAAUCUAUGCCAUAAAGCGUAAUCACUGAACGUGUCACCUCAUUUAUUUGCAGAGCUUUAGUGUCGCUCUUGCGUCACAGAACACACAACUGUAUUCAUGUUGCCUGCUAGUGCUAGAUGCUAGUUUACAGGGUAAACCAUUUGAGCCGCUGUAGUGAAAGCUUUAGCUCCAAAGACGGCUGCUUGACCCAGAAUCAGGCCAGUAUAGUUUUGUGCUUUAGAAUACAGAGAGAUGAUUGUUAACUAAAUUAAUAACAAAAUAACUCAUAGUGACAAGACAUCUACAUUAAAUGAUAAAGAGCAUUUGCUGUGAACAUGUUGAGCCCUUUCACAGCCCCCAGACAGCCACAAAGCACAGAGAGGUCAAAACUGAACAGAAGUCCCUGUGGGAGCUCUCUUGCCCUUCAACCUCUAGGUGCUCAUCCCUGAUGCUCAUUCCCUAGAGGUGUCAGAUGAAGACAAACCAAGUGGUGCUGCAUAUGCAAUGGCCAGAAAGGAAAGUGUGGGACGGAAGGGACAAGGAACUUGAGAAGGUGAAAGAGGACAGAAAGUGCUUUGAAAGAGUGUGUUAAAGGAGAGAGUCAAGGGGAGGGGAGUGGAGAGUGUGGCUGAAAUCGAGGUGUAUGGGGCUAACAGACAGGAAAGAAGGGGGGAGGAGAAGUAGUGCUCGGAGAAAGAACACAAUGAAGAUGAGGCUGCAUUAGCUGCCCGUCUCAGGCCAAUUACUCUGCUGCUCCCCCUCUCUUCUAUCGCUCCUCUGCUCUCCUCUCUUCGCCCUCACCUCUCACUUUCCUCCUCUCUCCCCCUCUCUCACUUUCUCUAUCUCUGCUCUAACUAUCCACGUGCUGUCAGCAGCAACAGAUCCCUAAACGAUACCGGUCUGCACUGGCAGGUUUUAUCUUCCCGUGCUACAAUAGGAAAGAAGGAUCUGAGAACAGAUAAGAUAGGACCAACCAACAGCGACAAAAAGCAAAGGCAUAAUGGCGAGGCACACGCCUGACACAGUGCUUCACUGCCAUCUAGUGGCGGGUAGCUCGGCAGGAGCUCCAUCGGAGGAGGCUGAUCAUUAGUUACAGGCAGUUGCACUGCCCCAAUGUGAUCAAGAACCACAUCUAAGAAGGUGUUGAGAUGUGUUGCUGUAGUACAUUUGUGUGUGAAAAUCACUCUGUUCUGGCAAACUGUUUGCUAAAAUAUGCAAAUUAAGGUAUUUUUUCUUUUUAAUAAAUACAAUUAAAAGGAUUGAAAUAGACCUCUAUUCUGUGUAAUCUGUUUGAUGCUUCCGCCAUGCCCUUCAAAGUACUUUAUGAAAGCAUAAGGCUGGAGAAUGAUUUACUGAAUUGCUCACAUUAUGAAUAUCCUCCCACUCAACAUGCAUUCUUAUUUCAGUUACUCCUCUGAAUUCAAUACAACUCAGCUGAAGGUAGCUACAAGACAAUUACACAAUUACACCUGAGAGGAAGGUCAAACAGUCAAUGAGCCAAAGCAGUAAGCUAGUACCAUGAAGAAAUUACAAUGCACUGAUGUUUUUUUUUAAAAAAGAGCUAUUGUUACACUUCUUAUCAUAAAGGUAAAUGUAUGUGACUAUUUCUUGCGGAAUAAACUUUACGUCCACUACUUCGCUAAUAAAAACGUUUUUAGGACACCACAAGACCAUGAAAUCUUGACCUUCUGCAGCAGAAUAUUUCCAC